GAUGAACGCUGGCGGCGUGCCUAAUACAUGCAAGUCGAGCGAACAGACGAGGAGCUUGCUCCUUUGACGUUAGCGGCGGACGGGUGAGUAACACGUGGGUAACCUACCUAUAAGACUGGGAUAACUUCGGGAAACCGGAGCUAAUACCGGAUAAUAUUUCGAACCGCAUGGUUCGAUAGUGAAAGAUGGCUUUGCUAUCACUUAUAGAUGGACCUGCGCCGUAUUAGCUAGUUGGUAAGGUAACGGCUUACCAAGGCAACGAUACGUAGCCGACCUGAGAGCGUGAUCGGCCACCCUGGAACUGAGACACGGUCCAGACUCCUACGGGAGGCAGCAGUAGGGAAUCUUCCGCAAUGGGCGAAAGCCUGACGGAGCAACGCCGCGUGAGUGAUGAAGGUCUUCGGAUCGUAAAACUCUGUUAGUAGGGAAGAACAAACGUGUAAGUAACUGUGCACGUCUUGACGGUACCUAAUCAGAAAGCCACGGCUAACUACGUG
rnacentral:rRNA from 1 species